rnacentral:ncRNA from 2 species
CAUAAUACAGGCUUCGUCGGUGCCCACCGCCAUGGUGCGGGGGCCUAAGAGGGAAUCCGGAGCGAUCCGCUGAUCGUGACCGAGCUGCCCCCGCAACUGUAAACAGCGAGUCUGCCGCCACUGUGCCACUGGGAAACCGGGAAGGCCGCGCCAGAUGAUGACCUGUCAGCCAGGAGACCUGCCGACGACGCUAGUCGCGA